GACGAACCGAGCGAACGUUGUUCGGAAUCACUGGGCGUAAAGCGCGUGUAGGCGGCUCUGCAAGUCGGAUGUGAAAGCCCUCGGCUCAACCGGGGAAGUGCAUUCGAAACUGCAGGGCUGGAGUCCUGGAGAGGAAGGCGGAAUUCUCGGUGUAGAGGUGAAAUUCGUAGAUAUCGAGAGGAACACCGGUGGCGAAGGCGGCCUUCUGGACAGUGACUGACGCUGAGACGCGAAAGCGUGGGGAGCAAACAGG
rnacentral:rRNA from 1 species